GAUGAACGCUGGCGGCGUGCCUAAUACAUGCAAGUCGAGCGAACGGACGAGAAGCUUGCUUCUCUGAUGUUAGCGGCGGACGGGUGAGUAACACGUGGAUAACCUACCUAUAAGACUGGGAUAACUUCGGGAAACCGGAGCUAAUACCGGAUAAUAUUUUGAACCUCAUGGUUCAAAAGUGAAAGACGGUCUUGCUGUCACUUAUAGAUGGAUCCGCGCUGCAUUAGCUAGUUGGUAAGGUAACGGCUUACCAAGGCAACGAUGCAUAGCCGACCUGAGAGCGUGAUCGGCCACACUGGAACUGAGACACGGUCCAGACUCCUACGGUAGGACGCAGUAGGGAAUCUUCCGCAAUGGGCGAAAGCCUGACGGAGCAACGCCGCGUGAGUGCUGAAGGUCUUCGGAUCGUAAAACUCUGUUAGUCGGGAAAAACAUAUGUGUAAGUAACUGUGAACAUAUUGACGGUACCUAAUCAGAAAGCCACGGCUAACUACGUG
rnacentral:rRNA from 1 species